rnacentral:rRNA from 1 species
UCUGGUUGAUCCUGCCAGUAGUCAUAUGCUUGUCUCAAAGAUUAAGCCAUGCAUGUCUAAGUAUAAGCAAUUUAUACAGUGAAACUGCGAAUGGCUCAUUAAAUCAGUUAUCGUUUAUUUGAUAGUUCCUUUACUACAUGGUAUAACUGUGGUAAUUCUAGAGCUAAUACAUGCUUAAAAUCUCGACCCUUUGGAGGAGAUGUAUUUAUUAGAUAAAAAAUCAAUGUCUUCGGACUCUUUGAUGAUUCAUAAUAACUUUUCGAAUCGCAUGGCCUUGUGCUGGCGAUGGUUCAUUCAAAUUUCUGCCCUAUCAACUUUUGAUGGUAGGAUAGUGGCCUACCAUGGUUUCAACGGGUAACGGGGAAUAAGGGUUCGAUUCCGGAGAGGGAGCCUGAGAAACGGCUACCACAUCCAAGGAAGGCAGCAGGCGCGCAAAUUACCCAAUCCUAAUUCAGGGAGGUAGUGACAAUAAAUAACGAUACAGGGCCCAUUCGGGUCUUGUAAUUGGAAUGAGUACAAUGUAAAUACCUUAACGAGGAACAAUUGGAGGGCAAGUCUGGUA